rnacentral:misc_RNA from 1 species
UGGUGCUGGUGGCUACCAUCGUGA